rnacentral:lncRNA from 1 species
GAGGCGCCCCGUCUGCACCCGACAAGCCCCGUGUUGUUUCUGGAUAUUCCACCGCAUACUUGGCUGCGCGUCCUUCUGUACACACAGCACAUUCUCGAAGCUUACAAAGGUCGAGAACAUUGCUGACGUGGCCCAUGACCGGCUCGUGUGUUCAUCCGGCAGACGCGGAGCACAGCUACAUGCUGAGCAUGCUAUGCAGGACCUGCUUGCCAGCGAGCCCGUGAAAAUCCAGUCCAAGGAACAGGAACAGCUAUCACACAUGGCAAAAAGGCGAGAAAGGCCAUGAGAAACAUAUCAGUUCUCUUUCUAAAUACAGAAGCAAAGCAGCCCAUGAUAGAUGCCGUGCUGAGGCUCCUCUCCCUAGGCAGCACUGCAUCAGGAAUAAUCCCACACUCAGCAUCCUUGGAAUGAGAAGUAUAAAGAGGAGGAGAAGUUCAUCUCAGAACUUCAAAAAGACCUGCGCUGAAAUCCUCGACUCUACUGCGCUAUGCAGGAGGAGUCUUAGACCCACUUGAUUGAUGAAAACACUCAGACUCAGACCAGGAGCAGACAGGUAGAGAGCCGUGGAACCAGCUUGGAGAAAGCAAUUCCACCCCUAGGAAUCAACACCAGAGACAUAUUAGAUACAUGUUCCCAAAAAGACAUGCGAGCUGUGGUCCCAGCACUUUGGGAGGCCGAGGCGGGCAGAUCACAAGCUACUGGCUUAGAGCUCCCACCUCCAGAAGGCCUUUCUCCGUCCGGCCCAUCCAGCCACCACCACCUCACACCCUGCCUCCUGCACUGUCAUCCAUCUGCCCUGAUAGACUGGAAAACACCUUCAACGCAGGAAUUACUCCCCAUGGUAUCCGCAGCACUUAGCCCAGUGCCCAGCACAGAGAAGGGGCUCGAUGAUAGUAGCUGAAUGACUAAAUUCUAUACAUCAGUCACUUGUGAAUUCAUUGUCCAUCCUCCGCCCUGCUCCCGCAACCACUCCACCUGAGCACACAGAUCUUCGUCCAGCCACCAUGGACUCCACAGCCCAUCCAGCUAGGAGCUCAGCCAAGUCUCUGGUGCAGAACAGACACCAUCUCAAUGUCCAGCUGCAGAAUUCCUGAAAUCGCUACCUUGUUACUCAAGGGCAGAUCAUGACUGCACUGUGCUUUUCACUCAGCUGUGGGUAAGGAUGUUGUUUUUCUCUUAUAAGAUGUAAAUUCCUACAGGGCCAUGACCACGUCUUCCGUCCCCUUCACCCCAUGCACCCUACGUGCAGUGCCAUCUAUGUAAAACAACAGUGAUUUCCCACAAAACACUGACUAAUGCUGACAUUUCUAGACAGCAUGAGCCAAUUGUUCAGAUAGCUGGGGUCUGUGCAUUUCACCAUAUGUAACGUUUACCUCAGAAAACAAGGAAGUCAACCUCUUGCAGCAUUUGCUUUCCCAAGUGGCCAGCGUUAGCCAUUCCGAGGCUCCCUUCUGUGCAUUCCAGCUUUGAGCCCAUGAUUAAAUGAGGACAAUGGAGCUGGUUUCCCAUGGCUGGGUAGGGAGUGGUAGCAGGCAAAGUGGGAAGGGCUGAACAUAUCAUGGUGAGGAGCUGGACUGGAGCUCUCUCUACACAUCCAUGGUUCCAGCAUACACAGAGAAACAGAGGUAAACAAGACAGAGCGCCAUCCUCUCUCUCCUGCUCAGAGGGCCAACCAACGGGAGACGCAUGCCACACCAAGGGCAAAGCACACAGCCCAGCUCUAAAUGCACACGUUCGUGGCUUCUCAAUGCCAUUCGCCACUAACAGGAACCAGGCUCCUUGGAGAAAAGGCUAAUUCCAGGACUGGGGCAGGGAGGGCACAGAGUGAGCUUGGGCCCUCUGGUUGUGCUGGAAAGUCAGGACGUGCUCCCAAACAGGUAUGGCAAAAGGGCAGCAUCAGUCAGGAGGCGACCACUCAGCAAGAAACGGCUUGAAGGUAAUGGAUCAAAUGAGCAUGACAGUACUGGGACAAAGCACCGUCGUGUGCUCCUGAUGGGAUUCACUGACAAAGGUGCAUCAUUACCCAAAAUGCCCCAUCUCAGUGUGAAUAUGAGGAAAGACUAGGCAGCUCAAAUUCAGGACAUUCUACUACAUGCAAGGCCAAAACAUUCAGAGACAGAAAGCAGAAGAGCGGUUACCAAGGGCUGGGGAAGGGGAAUGGGGAGUUGGUGUUUAAUGGAGACAGUUUCAGUCUGGGAAGAUGGA